UUCCGUCGUUCUUGCCUUAAAGAUAGGAUCCACAGUCUGCAGCGGAGUCCGGCAGCCUGAGGCAUGGGAUCAGGGGAAUGAUGUAAGAUGACAUGAUUUAUUGCUUUGUUAAGCAAUAGUUUCAGCCAUGUAUCAUGCUUUCAAGCUUAAAUGAUUGCCAAAGUAACAGGCGGGCUAAGGGGAUUUGAACACACAGAGAGUAUCUCUGGUGAAGGGAGAGUGAGCAUGGCUGAUAUUUCUGUUGGGAAGGUGGGAGGGAUCUUCCUAGUGCAGAGGUCCUGGAGUGAGUACUCCUUCCAGAAGAACCUGGAAAACUGGGAGAUGAGGAUUUUCUCUGGGUUUCGCUCUCCUGACGACUAAAUUAUAACUUAAUGCUCAUAUAAAAGAAGACAAGCAACAUACAAGUGAAUGAUGAAUCCUUGUGAACUCAGUUCCCAGCAUAAGACCUUUCCCAGCAUCUUCACAACAGCCACGGGCCCCUUCCCGUCAACCCGCUACCUUCACCGCUGAAGAAGCCGUGAUCUGGAAUGUGUCUGUGGUCGCCUUCCUUAAAAACAAAACAAAAUAUGUUUAUUAUUUAUAUCAGCAUCCCUAAAUAACAUGCCGCUUAUUUUUGCUUCUUUUUUUCUUUUAUUUUUUUUCCGAGUUUUAAAAAGUUGUAUUGUACUGUAUGGGGUUUUCUGUGAUUUGUUUUCUUCUUCACUUAAAUAUAUUUCUAAGAUUGAUCCUU